rnacentral:rRNA from 1 species
AUUGAACGCUGGCGGCAUGCCUUACACAUGCAAGUCGAACGGUAGCGGGCCUUCGGGUGCCGACGAGUGGCGAACGGGUGAGUAAUGUAUCGGAACGUACCUUUCAGUGGGGGAUAACGUAGCGAAAGUUACGCUAAUACCGCAUAUUCUGUGCGCAGGAAAGCAGGGGAUCGCAAGACCUUGCGCUGAUUGAGCGGCCGAUAUCAGAUUAGCUAGUUGGUGAGGUAAAGGCUCACCAAGGCGACGAUCUGUAGCGGGUCUGAGAGGAUGAUCCGCGACACUGGAACUGAGACACGGUCCAGAGUCCUACGGGAGGCAGCAGUGGGGAAUUUUGGACAAUGGGGGCAACCCUGAUCCAGCCAUGCCGCGUGAGUGAAGAAGGCCUUCGGGUUGUAAAGCUCUUUCGGCCGGGAAGAAAUCGUAUCAGCUAAUACCUGGUGCGGAUGACGGUACCGGCAUAAGAAGCACCGGCUAACUACGCGCCAGCCGCCGCGGUAACAC